GAUGAACGCUGGCGGCGUGCCUAAUACAUGCAAGUCGAACGCUGGAGAUCUAGCUUGCUAGAUCGAAGGAGUGGCGAACGGGUGAGUAAUACAUAAGCAACCUACCCACGAAGACUGGGAUAAUCUCUGGAAACGGGGACUAAUACCGGAUAGGUAAUCGGAAGGCAUCUUCUGGUUAUUAAAGGUUAAAAACACUGGUGGAUGGGCUUAUGGCGCAUUAGUUAGUUGGUGAGGUAACGGCCCACCAAGACGAUGAUGCGUAGCCGGCCUGAGAGGGUGAAAGGCCACAUUGGGACUGGGACACGGCCCAGACUCCUACGGGAGGGAGGAAUAGGGAAAUUUCGGGAAAGGGGGCAACCCUGACCGGGCAAAGCCGGGUGAGUGAAGACCGGCUUCGGGUUGUAAAGCUCUGUUGUAAGGGAAGAAACGUAGAAAAGGAAUAACUAAGUGACGGGACCCUAACAGAAAGCCACGGCUAACUACGUG
rnacentral:rRNA from 1 species